UAAAAUAGCACGUUGGUCUCAAAUAAGACAUUGAUACAAUGCAACACUUGCCGUCAGUAUUUGAAAAUAUUGAUUAAGAAGCUGUGUGUAAAAGUGAAUGUUUAAAUGGAGGCUCAUGUAGAGGACCUGACUACUGCGCAUGUCCACAAAACUUUACAGGUCCUUUGUGUGAACUAGGUUGUCAGCAAGAUGAAAAGAAUAAAUAUGCAGUUAAAAGUCAAAAUGUGGAUAAGCUUCAAAGUUCAAGGUCCUACUUUUGCAGAUUUUCAUAUUUUGCAUGAAUGAAUUUAAAGUUUAUAUCAUGGACAGCAGUGAAAGAAAAAAAAAAUCUUUUCAAUUUUCCUGCUACAAAGGAUAAAUGUAAAGACAUCUUGUUUUCGGUAAGUUUUAAUUCUGUUCUGUUUUUUUGGGGCUCGCUGGUCUUAACCAUUUUUUUUUAAUUUAAUAUAGGAUUUCGCUAUAUUUUUCUUUAUUUAAUAUAGGAUUUCGCUAUAUUUUUCUUUAUUUAAUAUAGGAUUUCGCUAUAUUUUUCUAUCUAAAAAGAACUUAUCUUAAACUUAAAAUGGGGUCACUGUUCUCUCGAUCACAAUCUGCCUUCGAUGAGUUAUAAAAGAUAUUUCAAUUUUAAUGCCCAAAAAAUGGCAUUUUUACACCAAAGGGAGAUAACUUGAAGCUUUUUCAAUGAGAUCUAGAAAUUUAAAAGUCACCUUGGGCCAACAUGAAUUGAUUUUUAUGCCCAACCUACGAUAGUAGAGGGGCAUUAUGUUUUCUGGUCUGUGCAUCUGUUUGUCCCUCUGUCCGUUCGUUCGUCUGUCUGUUCGUUCAUCCAUCCGUUCGUCCGUCUGUCCCGCUUCAGGUUAAAGUUUUUGGUCAAGGUAGUUUUUGAUGAAGUUGAAGUCCAAUCAACUUGAAACUUAGUACACAUGUUCCUUAUGAUAUAAUCUUUCUAAAUUUAAAACCAAAUCAAACUUUUGACCCCAAUUUCACGGUCCACUGAACAAAGAAAAUGAAAGUGCAUGUUUCAGGUUAAAGUUUUUGGUCAAGGUAGUUUUUAAUGAAGUUGAAGUCCAAUCAACUUGAAACUUAGUACACAUGUUCCUUAUGAUAUUAUCUUUCUAAUUUCAAUGCCUAAUUAUAUUUUUUAUCCAAUUUCAUGGUUCAUUGAACAUGGAAACUGAAAGUGCGAGUGGGGCAUUCGUGUACUUUGGACACAUUCUUGUUUUGAAUUAUUUUUGUACCAUAUGAUAAAGUAACAAAAUUCUACUAAAGGUAACUGAUAAAAUUUGUAAUCAUGGUAAUGAAAAAUAAGUGUUUAAUUUUUUUCUGAAAAUCUUAUACCCGUGAGCCUCCUUAAUAGUCAUGGUAGUGUUUGUGCAUUCAUCUGUCCAGUCUUUCCUCUAAAUUGUAUUCUCUUUAAAUAUUGGUGAGUGAUUGUCAUGAAUUUCAGUAAGUUACUUGUGGAUUUACAUGUAAAAUACUCAAAAUUUAGUACUUAUAGUAAUGGGAUUUUAGCAUGACAUCCUGUCAAAUGCUCGUUAACCGUGUUUAUAUUCCAGAACAUAUGAGUAUUUGUACUGUACACGUACAAUCUGCCCAAUUUUAAGAAGUUGGUCAAGUUUAUUAGAAACAAAUUUACAUUACAGAUCAAUAUAACUGAAACCUUUUAAUAGAUUAAUACAAAAAGUUAAAUUUGUA